GUGAAGAACGUAGCGAAAUGCGAUAAGUAGUGUGAAUUGCAGAAUUCAGUGAAUCAUCGAAUCUUUGAACGCACAUUGCGCCCCUUGGUAUUCCAUGGGGCAUGCCUGUUCGAGCGUCAUUUGUACCUUCAAGCUUUGCUUGGUGUUGGGUGUUUGUCCUGAGGGACUCGCCUUAAAGUAAUUGGCAGCCAGUGUUUUGGUUUUGAAGCGCAGCACAAGUCGCGAUUCAAAGCUAUACGCCAGCUUCCACAAGCCUUUUUCACUUUUGACCUCGGAUCAGGUAGGGAUACCCGCUGAACUUAAGCAUAUCAAUAAGCGGAGGA
rnacentral:misc_RNA from 1 species